AGCUAUUUAGCUUAUCGUUAAAGCAUGUAUUUUGAAAAUAUAAGAAAGAGUUUAUUUAAUGGCUU
rnacentral:tRNA from 1 species